rnacentral:lncRNA from 1 species
CUGGGGUUUGGGCAGCAGCAAAUGACACUGCGCUAAUUGGAAGCGCGAGAAGGAACUUAACGCGGGGAGCAAAUAAUUGCCAGAGAUAAAAUGGGGCCAGAGGAUGGCUGAUGCUGCUGAUAGGAAAGGCCAGAGGAAGAUUAUAUAGUUGGAAACACUCGGAGACGCGUCCUCUGUGUAAUUAGAAAGAGGACCUAGCAUACAGACUGAUGGCAACCUGGCCCUGCUUAGCCUGUGAUAUCUGUCAGGAUCGCGGUGCUGGGAGGCGUGACUGACGUGCUGAUUCUUUCGGUAUUACCAUCGGGAAUCCCAGCACCCUGGAACAAGGGAGUAGGAGAUGUUAAACAGAUGGGAGACUUUGCAAAUACACCGUAACUGCCGGCGUGGGAAUAUCAAGCAGCCAUGCACAGCACAGGAGGCCUCCCCACCCGGCUGGGUGCUCAGCGUCUGCCUCGGAGGACGGCUUGUGAGUGACCGAGCGCCCUGCAGGAGCCUUUUGCAGUCUGGGAACGGCCUGCUCUAGUGUCAGAGCUGUGUGUGAGCUAAAAUGUCUCAGGUAGGGUCGGUGUCGCCCUGUUCCUGUCCGGGUGCCCAUCUUGGCCGAGGUUCCACCCGAACCGUUCGCAUCAGGCUGGGCGGCUGCAGUGAGGAGCGUUGGGUGUAGGGGUGAGAUGCAGGCAGUUAUUGGCACAACACUGCUGCUGUCCUAGGAUGAAGCUGGGCUUGUUCCUGCUUUGUUUUCACCCUCCUGCUCUACCUCGUCUGCUGGUCAUUAUUCUUUGUAGCUGGGCUUUGUAUUUACUUUUCAUUUUUUAAGAAAAAAGAUAAAGAUUAAACCCCUUUAAGACGACUUUUAUGAGGAAUCCUAAUUCUUAGUCUGUUUGCUGACAAAUUAUAUAAUAUUGACCUUUCUCUUGCCUUCACUGGAUGUUGAUUUUUCUUCCAUUUCCUGGUGUGGAAGUUGCACACCCCUUACCUUGCGUUUUUAACUUAAAAGCGAUACAGUUUUAGGGGAACGUAAGAUUGCCUUGAAAAAGGAAACCAAUUUACUUGUCUUGGGUAAUGCCAUUCUUCCCUGUGCUUUCUGUUACUUAGUUUUUUGUUUUUUUUUGCUUGUUUUGUACUUACUUUUUUUUUUUUAUCUGAUAAAAAUGCCUUUAAAAGACUUCAGUCCAGAAGUACUGCUCCUAACCAGAGGAACUGGGAAAGUUACAUGUGUGAGUUCAGAAAGGUUUUGAGGAAUAGAAAAGGUUUGAGUCCCCUUUAAAGACUUAAAUCAAAGAUCUUGAGUACCAGAGCGAUCUGUGGCUGUGUUUAUCAGUGGGGGAAAUACCCGAGGUACAUACUGAACGGAAGCAUGAGUGCUGGCACCAGGCUCAGCAAAAGAGCAAACCUCGGCAGUUCCCAUUCGUCAUCUGCAUCAUCAGCCAUCAGUCCUUCAGCACGUCUGUGACGCUGUCCUGGUUCCUGCUGUUGCCCAAGAAGUAAGAGCCCCACAAAGCUGCUGCGUGGAUUUGAAUCUUUGUACUCGAACUGCACGGCCUCCUGGGGGCCCUCCUGUCUGGGGAGUCACUGGCGCAUUCUGGGCAUCUCAAUUUCUGUAGGAAAGAAACAUACCUGAAUCCAUGACGGUUCCUUAUAUCCCUAGUAAAUCAGCAAUAUCUUAAAGAUGGCUCUGGAUACAUUAUAUUGAAUUAAAUUAAAAAUGUGGAGAAUAACAGACUGAAACUCAUGAAAAAUGCUGUUGCUUUCUGCAGGACGUGUUUGUUUUUAUGGCUUUCUUUGGUGGGUUGAGCAGCCCUCUUAUCCUUUCAGUAGUCUCAGCUUUAUGUCAGUUUAUAUAUUCCGUGUUUUAUGGAUCACUGGAAGAUAAUUCUGUUGUUUUCUAUUAGACCUUUAGUAAAUAAAAUGUCAGGGUUUUUUUCCGGUGCUGCA